rnacentral:rRNA from 1 species
UGGGGAAUAUUGCACAAUGGGCGCAAGCCUGAUGCAGCCAUGCCGCGUGUAUGAAGAAGGCCUUCGGGUUGUAAAGUACUUUCAGCGGGGAGGAAGGUGUUGAGGUUAAUAACCUCAGCAAUUGACGUUACCCGCAGAAGAAGCACCGGCUAACUCCGUGCCAGCAGCCGCGGUAAUACGGAGGGUGCAAGCGUUAAUCGGAAUUACUGGGCGUAAAGCGCACGCAGGCGGUCUGUCAAGUCGGAUGUGAAAUCCCCGGGCUCAACCUGGGAACUGCAUUCGAAACUGGCAGGCUAGAGUCUUGUAGAGGGGGGUAGAAUUCCAGGUGUAGCGGUGAAAUGCGUAGAGAGCUGGAGGAAUACCGGUGGCGAAGGCGGCCCCCUGGACAAAGACUGACGCUCAGGUGCGAAAGCGUGGGGAGCAAACA